rnacentral:snRNA from 1 species
GUGUUCACAUUCAGCAGCACAUAUACUAAAAUGGGGAAUGAUACAGAGAAGACUAACCAUGGCCCCUGUGCAAGGAGGACACACAAAUUCAUGAAGACAUUACACAAAGAA